GCGGCGUGCUUAACACAUGCAAGUCGAACGGAAAGGCCCCUUCGGGGUGUACUCGAGUGGCGAACGGGUGAGUAACACGUGGGUGACCUGCCCUGCACUUCGGGAUAAGCCUGGGAAACUGGGUCUAAUACCGGAUAGGACCGCAUCGUGAGGAUGUGGUGGAAAGUUUUUUCGGUGCAGGAUGGGCCCGCGGCCUAUCAGCUUGUUGGUGGGGUAAUGGCCUACCAAGGCGGCGACGGGUAGCCGGCCUGAGAGGGUGGACGGCCACAUUGGGACUGAGACACGGCCCAGACUCCUACGGGAGGCAGCAGUGGGGAAUAUUGCACAAUGGGCGCAAGCCUGAUGCAGCGACGCCGCGUGGGGGAUGAAGGCCUUCGGGUUGUAAACUCCUUUCAUCAUCGACGAAGGGCUCACUUGUUGUGGGUUUGACGGUAGGUGGAGAAGAAGCACCGGCUAACUACGUGCCAGCAGCCGCGGUAAUACGUAGGGUGCGAGCGUUGUCCGGAAUUACUGGGCGUAAAGAGCUCGUAGGUGGUUUGUCGCGUCGUCUGUGAAAUUCCGGGGCUCAACUCCGGGCGUGCAGGCGAUACGGGCAUAACUUGAGUACUACAGGGGAGACUGGAAUUCCUGGUGUAGCGGUGAAAUGC
rnacentral:rRNA from 1 species